rnacentral:pre_miRNA from 1 species
GCGUUAGCAUAUUGUUUCAUGUUCAAACGUCCCCUUUGCAUCGCAAACUUAGGAUGUUUGGAUACGUUUUAGUUUCAUGAUUA